AAAACUUUCAACAACGGAUCUCUUGGUUCCAGCAUCGAUGAAGAACGCAGCGAAAUGCGAUAAGUAAUGUGAAUUGCAGAAUUCAGUGAAUCAUCGAAUCUUUGAACGCACAUUGCGCCCCUUGGUAUUCCGGGGGGCAUGCCUGUUCGAGCGUCAUU
rnacentral:rRNA from 2 species